rnacentral:rRNA from 1 species
GAGUUUGAUCCUGGUUCAGGACGAACGCCGGCGGCGUGCUUAACACAUGCAAGUCGAACGGUACCAAUUUGGUAGUAAUAUCGAAUUGGUAUAGUGGCGGACGGGUGAGUAACGCGUGAGCAAUCUACCUUAGAGUGGGGGACAACAUUCGGAAACGGAUGCUAAUACCGCAUAAGACCACACUGCCACAUGGCAGAGGGGUCAAAGGAGUAAUCCGCUUUAAGAUGAGCUCGCGUCCCAUUAGCUAGUUGGUGAGGUAACGGCCCACCAAGGCGACGAUGGGUAGCCGACCUGAGAGGGUGAUCGGCCACACUGGAACUGAGACACGGUCCAGACUCCUACGGGAGGCAGCAGUGGGGAAUAUUGGGCAAUGGGCGAAAGCCUGACCCAGCAACGCCGCGUGAUUGAAGAAGGUCUUCGGAUUGUAAAGAUCUGUCCUAUGGGAAGAAAAAAAUGACGGUACCAUAGGAGGAAGCCCCGGCUAACUACGUGCCAGCAGCCGCGGUAAUACGUAGGGGGCAAGCGUUGUCCGGAUUUACUGGGCGUAAAGGGUGCGUAGGCGGUAUUUUAAGUCAGAUGUGAAAUAUCCGAGCUUAA